rnacentral:rRNA from 1 species
GAUGAACGCUAGCUACAGGCUUAACACAUGCAAGUCGAGGGGCAGCGGGGAGGAUGCUUGCAUUCUCUGCCGGCGACCGGCGCACGGGUGAGUAACGCGUACCGAACCUGCCUCAUACUCGGGAAUAGCCUUGCGAAAGUAAGAUUAAUACCCGGCGGUCUCGGAUGGCCGCAUGACUAUCCGAGUGAAGAUUUAUCGGUAUGAGAUGGCGAUGCGUCCCAUUAGCUUGUUGGUGGGGUAACGGCUCACCAAGGCAUCGAUGGGUAGGGGUUCUGAGAGGAAGGUCCCCCACAUUGGAACUGAGACACGGUCCAA